rnacentral:rRNA from 1 species
GAUGAACGCUAGCGGCAGGCUUAAUACAUGCAAGUCAAGGGGGUAGCAAUACAACCGGCGCACGGGUGAGUAACGCGUACACAACAUACCAUAUACUGGAGUAUAGCUUUGGGAAACUGAAGGUAAUCCUCCAUAACAUUUGCGAGAGGGCAUCUGAUUGCAAUUAAAGUUCCGGCGGUAUAUGAUUGGUGUGCGUUUGAUUAGCUAGUUGGUAGGGUAACGGCCUACCAAGGCGACGAUCAAUAGCUGGCGUGAGAGCGCGACCAGCCACACUGGAACUGAGACACGGUCCAGACUCCUACGGGAGGCAGCAGUAGGGAAUAUUGGACAAUGGGCGAAAGCCUGAUCCAGCCAUGCCGCGUGAUAGAUCGAAGGCCCUCUGGGUUGUAAAUAUCUUUUAUCUGGGAAGAAACUCCUCUAUUCUUAGAGGCCUGACGGUACCAGAGGAAUAAGCACCGGCUAACUCCGUGCCAGCAGCCGACGG